GUCGCUGCAAAUUCAGCGGCCGGGUUUUGCAGCCCGACUAAAUCAAGGCGCACAAGCGCCAUCGUACCGAGAGCAGGCGCUUUUUUU
rnacentral:sRNA from 1 species